rnacentral:rRNA from 1 species
UACGUAGGGUGCGAGCGUUGUCCGGAAUUAUUGGGCGUAAAGAGCUCGUAGGCGGUGUGUCGCGUCGGCCGUGAAAACCUGCAGCUUAACUGUGGGCUUGCGGUCGAUACGGGCAUCACUGGAGUUCGGCAGGGGAGACUGGAAUUCCUGGUGUAGCGGUGAAAUGCGCAGAUAUCAGGAGGAACACCGAUGGCGAAGGCAGGUCUCUGGGACGGUACUGACGCUGAGACGCGAAAGCGUGGGGAGCGAACAGG